rnacentral:rRNA from 1 species
UUCGUAGGCGGUGUGGCAAGUCGGGAGUGAAAUCUCUGGGCUCAACCCAGAGACUGCUUCCGAAACUGCUGUGCUUGAGUGUGAGAGAGGCUCGUGGAAUUGCAGGUGUAGCGGUGAAAUGCGUAGAUAUCUGCAGGAACACCCGUGGCGAAAGCGGCGAGCUGGAUCACUACUGACGCUGAGGAACGAAAGCUAGGGGAGCAAACAGGAUUAGAUACCCUGGUAGUCCUAGCCCUAAACGAUCAGGACUUGGGGUGCCGCCCGUUCGGGCGUCGUCCCGGAGCUAACGCGUUAAGUCCUGCACCUGGGGAGUACGGUCGCAAGACUGAA